CAAUACCUUGAUGGCGACCGGCGCACGGGUGAGUAACACGUAUCCAACCUGCCGAUAACUCGGGGAUAGCCUUUCGAAAGAAAGAUUAAUACCCGAUGGUAUAAUAAAACCGCAUGGUUUAAUUAUUAAAGAAUUUCGGUUAUCGAUGGGGAUGCGUUCCAUUAGGCAGUUGGUGAGGUAACGGCUCACCAAACCUUCGAUGGAUAGGGGUUCUGAGAGGAAGGUCCCCCACAUUGGAACUGAGACACGGUCCAA
rnacentral:rRNA from 1 species